CGCUGGCGGCGUGCCUAAUACAUAGCAAGUCGAACGGUCUUUCUAUGGAAGCUUGCUUCCACUGAGAAGAUAGUGGCGAACGGGUGAGUAACACGUGGGUAACCUGCCCAUAAGAGGGGGGAUAACAUCCGGAAACGGGUGCUAAUACCGCAUAGUUUUCUUGAUCGCAUGAUCGGGAAAGGAAAGACGGCCUUUGUGCUGUCGCUUAUGGAUGGACCCGCGGCGUAUUAGUUAGUUGGUGAGGUAACGGCUCACCAAGACGAUGAUACGUAGCCGACCUGAGAGGGUGAUCGGCCACAUUGGGACUGAGACACGGCCCAAACUCCUACGGGAGGCAGCAGUAGGGAAUCUUCCGCAAUGGACGAAAGUCUGACGGAGCAACGCCGCGUGAGUGAAAGAAGGUUUUCGGAUCGUAAAACUCUGUUGUCAGAGAAGAACAAGUUGGAGAGUAACUGCUCCAGCCUUGACGGUAUCUGACCAGAAAGCCACGGCUAACUACGUGCCAGCCGCCGC
rnacentral:rRNA from 1 species